rnacentral:rRNA from 1 species
CCCUUAGAUGUCCUGGGCCGCACGCGCGCUACACUGAUGCAUGCAACGAGUUUAUAACCUUGGCCUGAAAGGUCUGGGUAAUCUUUUGAACGUGCAUCGUGAUAGGGAUAGAUUAUUGCAAUUGUUAAUCUUGAACGAGGAAUUCCUAGUAAACGCGAGUCAUCAGCUCGCAUUGAUUACGUCCCUGCCCUUUGUACACACCGCCCGUCGCACCUACCGAUUGAAUGGUUCGGUGAAGAUCUCGGACUUCGAUAUUUAUUCUUUAUUGAGUUUAUAUUGUGGGAAGUUAUCUAAACCUAAUCAUUUAGAGGAAGGUGAAGUCGUAACA